GAUGAACGCUGGCGGCGUGCCUAAUACAUGCAAGUCGAGCGAACAGAUGAGGAGCUUGCUCCUCUGACGUUAGCGGCGGACGGGUGAGUAACACGUGGAUAACCUACCUAUAAGACUGGGAUAACUUCGGGAAACCGGAGCUAAUACCGGAUAAUAUAUUGAACCGCAUGGUUCAAUAGUGAAAGACGGUUUUGCUGUCACUUAUAGAUGGAUCCGCGCCGCAUUAGCUAGUUGGUAAGGUAACGGCUUACCAAGGCAACGAUGCUUAGCCGACCUGAGAGGGUGAUCGGCCACACUGGAACUGAGACACGGUCCAGACUCCUACGGUAGGCAGCAGUAGGGAAUCUUCCGCAAUGGGCGAAAGCGUGACGGAGCAACGCCGCGUGAGUGAUGAAGGUCUUCGGAUCGUAAAACUCUGUUAUUAGGGAAGAACAAAUGUGUAAGUAACUAUGCACGUCUUGACGGUACCUAAUCAGAAAGCCACGGCUAACUACGUG
rnacentral:rRNA from 1 species